AAAUCCAUCAUGAUUAUUAUUUUAGGGAAAUAAUAAGAAAAUGAAUGACCUGCUUCAUCCAAGUGGGCAUCCAUGAAUGCUUCCAUUUCCACAUAGACUUUUGGAGCAGACGAUAUCGUAUUAUCUGAUAGAGGAGUGUACAAGCAAUAAACCUGACAGCUCUGUAAAACAAAUCAUCAUACAUCAACAGUUUCUCAAGGCCAGGCAACAAUAAGAAAAGACAGAAGUGCUCUUAUUCAUGUUUAAGGAAUGAAGAUUCCUUACUCUUCACCAACCCUGAAAGCCACAUGAACCUGUCUUUUGGGCUACAAACAUGAGAACAGGAGAAACAUCAAUACCAGUAGAGGAGGAAUCUUAGGAAUACCAGCACCGUAUCCUAAAGGAGUGCUACCCAAGUGGGAGAGAGCUCUGAGACCACCUUGCAGAGAUCUUCCACAUCUCUGUGGUCAGCUGCCCAUCCACGAGGUCAAGAGAUUGGAUGACAUCCUCUCAAAGUUCUCUUCAGGCUCUGAGAUUCUGUGAUACUUUAAGAGAGCUGUGUGGCAAACAAGUAGGAGGCAGGGACUUACCAACUGGCUGUGUGGAUUUAGAUGAAGCAAGUUACAGAAACUCCCUGGGCCUCAGUUCUUCAAUCUGCAAAGGGAGGAGAUUGAGCUGUAUAUCUCCCGAGGUCCUUCUAGCUCUGACAUUGCAUGCUGUUGUAACAAAGUUCAAAUGGAGACGGGGAUUUGAGGACAAACUUCUGGGUGCCACAUAAAUGAUUUCCAAAGGUUUAAAACAAUGUAGUCAGGGCCUUUAUAAUUAAAAAUGAAAAAAGUCUCAGCUUGUUUUGUAGCACUAAUGCAGAACUUGAGAUUUGUGUAAGCAAUAGGAUUAUUUUUAGACAGAUUAAGGGUCUAGAGAAAACUUGUCACACGUCAAUCUUUUAAAAAUGCAGUGUCAUGUUUUUUCCCAAAGUUUUCCUGUAAGGUUUAAUUAGUUAACAUACAGUGAAAUAUUAGUUUCAGGCAUUAGUGACAUGUUUUUUUUUAUUUUUUAAAAAGGCACUUAAAGAAAUGCUAUAUCCUUGGUAAUAUGGUAUGUCAGAUAGGCCUAUAAAGCUUUUCACAAUAGGAACAUCACAAAUUUAUUUCAAAAUUGUAAAUAAUAAAGCUUUUACCCAAGGGAGAUGAAACUGAAGGUGAAGCUUCAGUUCCAAAGAGGUGUCAAACUUUCAUGGUUUGAUGAUUUGUAUCAAUCAUAAAAAUCUUUCUAAAUUAUAUUAAAUCAGUUUGCAGAAUGCAUAUUUGAAUACCAUGGUAGAUCCUAUGUAAAACAAGUUAAUUUAACACAAUGUUUUAUGACAAAGGGAUAAAUGACCUCUCCAGAAAUAGAUACUAUAGGCACCAAGGGACUUUGAUAAGCACAAGAACCUGCCCUAGGGUCUCUACUCCAUAAUAAUCUGGACUCCAUGGCACACACUGAAAAAGAAGCUGUUAAAGAUGCAAAUAGUGAGUAAAGUCCAUGGUAAUAUUUUUUGAAUGGGUUAAUAAUUAUUUAUUUGGAAUACAUGUAUUGUGUCAUUGAGUAAAGUCAAGUCUUUGUCAAUCAAGUACUCUUAGUAAAUAGAUACAAAAUGCAAUUCAAAAUUUAGCAUUGAGGGCAGCCUGGGUGGCUCAGCAGUUUAGCGCCGCCUUCGGCCCAGGGCAUGAUCCAGGAGACCCAGGGUCGAGUCCUACAUCAGGCUCCCUGCAUGGACCAGCUUCUCCCUCUGCCUGUGUCUCUGCCUCUCUGUCUCUCUGUUUCUCAUGAAUAAAUAAAUAAAAUCUUAAAAAAAAUUAGCAUUGAAAUUGAGCCAGACUUCUGUCAGGAACUGCUCAAUUUUAUUCAUUCUACUCCAGAUUCAUUAUAAAAUAAAGUAGACAGGGAUAUCUGGGAAUAGUUUCUUUAUUCCCUUGAGACCACGUUUUAUUUUAACAGCUUUAUUAGCUGUUAAUUUACAUAAUUUCUCAUUAUUAUGAGAAAUUUACAUAACAUAA